rnacentral:rRNA from 1 species
AUGAACGCUAGCUACAGGCUUAACACAUGCAAGUCGAGGGGAAACGGCAUCAAGCGCUUGCGCCUGAUGGACGUCGACCGGCGCACGGGUGAGUAACGCGUAUCCAACCUGCCCCACACUAAGGGAUAACCCGCAGAAAUGUGGACUAAUACCUUAUAUUUUCCACCAAGGGCAUCGUCGAUGGAACAAAGAUUUAUCGGUAUGGGAUGGGGAUGCGUCCGAUUAGGUUGUUGGCGGGGUAACGGCCCACCAAGCCUUCGAUCGGUAGGGGUUCUGAGAGGAAGGUCCCCCACAUAGGAACUGAGACACGGUCCUAACUCCUACGGGAGGCAGCAGUGAGGAAUAUUGGUCAAUGGGCGUGAGCCUGAACCAGCCAAGUAGCGUGUAGGAAGACGGCCCUAUGGGUUGUAAACUGCUUUUAUGCGGGGAUAAAGGAGUCCACGUGUGGAUUUUUGCAGGUACCGCAUGAAUAAGGACCGGCUAAUUCCGUGCCAGCAGCCGCGGUAAUACGGAAGGUCCGGGCGUUAUCCGGAUUUAUUGGGUUUAAAGGGAGCGUAGGCCGCGUUUUAAGCGUGUUGUGAAAUGUAGACGCCCAACGUCUGCAUCGCAGCGCGAACUGGGACGCUUGAGUACGCGCAACGUUGGCGGAAUUCGUCGUGUAGCGGUGAAAUGCUUAGAUAUGACGAGGAACUCCGAUUGCGAAGGCAGCUGACGGGAGCGGCACUGACGCUUAAGCUCGAGGGUGCGGGUAUCAAACAGGAUUAGAUACCCUGGUAGUCCGCACAGUAAACGAUGGAUGCCCGCUGUGUGCCUAUUAUGGUACGCGGCUAAGCGAAAGCGUUAAGCAUCCCACCUGGGGAGUACGCCGGCAACGGUGAAACUCAAAGGAAUUGACGGGGGCCCGCACAAGCGGAGGAACAUGUGGUUUAAUUCGAUGAUACGCGAGGAACCUUACCCGGGCUUGAACUGCCGGUGCACGAUCCAGAGAUGGUGAGGCCCUUCGGGGCGCCGGUGGAGGUGCUGCAUGGUUGUCGUCAGCUCGUGCCGUGAGGUGUCGGCUUAAGUGCCAUAACGAGCGCAACCCCUCUCCGUAGUUGCCAUCAGGUAAUGCUGGGCACUCUGCGGAUACUGCCACCGCAAGGUGCGAGGAAGGUGGGGAUGACGUCAAAUCAGCACGGCCCUUACGUCCGGGGCUACACACGUGUUACAAUGGGGGGCACAGCGAGUAGGCCGCGCGCAAGUUCGGUCCAAUCAAGAAAUCCCCCCUCAGUUCGGACUGGGGUCUGCAACCCGACCCCACGAAGCUGGAUUCGCUAGUAAUCGCGCAUCAGCCAUGGCGCGGUGAAUACGUUCCCGGGCCUUGUACACACCGCCCGUCAAGCCAUGAAAGCUGGGGGUGCCUGAAGUCCGUAACCGUCAAGGAGCGGCCUAGGGCAAAACCGGUGAUUGGGGCU